rnacentral:rRNA from 1 species
UACGAAGGGGGCUAGCGUUGUUCGGAAUUACUGGGCGUAAAGCGCGCGUAGGCGGACGCUUAAGUCAGGGGUGAAAUCCCGGGGCUCAACCCCGGAACUGCCUCUGAUACUGGACGUCUUGAGUGCAGGAGAGGUGAGUGGAAUUGCGAGUGUAGAGGUGAAAUUCGUAGAUAUUCGCAAGAACACCAGUGGCGAAGGCGGCUCACUGGCCUGUAACUGACGCUGAGGCGCGAAAGCGUGGGGAGCAAACAGG